CUCUUGGAGAAUUACACCAACCCGAGUAGCUUAGGCAAAAGGGAAUUCGUUGAAGAGAGAA
rnacentral:ncRNA from 1 species